UUUUUUAAUUGAAAACUUGUAUGAAUGGUUCAACGAAAUAUUUUCUGUUUCAUAAAAAUUUAUAUAGAAAUUAAUUUUUUAGUUAAAAAGCUAAAAUGUAAUUAAAAGACGAGAAGACCCUAUAGAGUUUUAUAUAAAAAAUUUUAUAAUUUAUUUAUAAAAUUUAAAAUUUUAUUGUUUUUUAUAUUUUGUUGGGGUGACAGUAAAAUUUUAUUAUCUUUUAUUAUUUUUAAACAAUGAUUUUUGAAUAAUUGAUCCAUUUUUAAUGAUUAAAAGAUUAAAUUACCUUAGGGAUAACAGCGUAAUUUUUUUGUAGAGUUCUUAUCGAUAAAAAAUUUUGC
rnacentral:rRNA from 1 species